GAGAAGCAUCCUCUGUGAUGUCACAGAGCACAAGGUUACUGACCAAUCACAUCUCUUCUAGAGGAGGACAGAGAGUAGAAGAAGAGAGGAGGAGGAGGAGGAGGAAGAAGAAGAAGAAAAAGUGUGGAGCACGUUGGUGUCUCCGACCAAAGACCAACCAGAACUGUCUCGCCUCUCACACACUGGUUGGAGUACUGACAGUAUUCUCAGCAGUACAGUGACCUCAGCUGCUGACAUCACCCUGCAGCAAUACAUUACCCACAAUGCCUCAGUGCAGAGUCCCUCCUCACAGAAUGCCUCAGUGAGAACAGGCAGGUGUCCUCGUGGCUCCUCCUCCUCUGCUCUGGUCUACAGCAUCCUGGUGGAGGACAGACAGCCUCGUUACAGCCUGAGGAGCAGAAGAUCAGAUGUUCUCUGAAGAACCGACUCACUUUGUUUUCUGUAUGUUUUUAUAACUGAAUGUUUCAAUGAAUGUUAAUAAAAGUGGAUUUUAGAUUUUAAACAGAGUGAAGCUGGUGUUCAGACUCACGACACCGCAGGAGGUCUAGAGCAGUGGUCCCCAACCACCGGGCCGUGGAUCAUUUGGUACCGGGCCGCACAGAAAGAAUAAAUAUUAUAUUAUUU